CCUUCCUCUCUUUUUCUUGAGUUCUCCCCUCAUCACGUGGUCCCAUUAUUCAAGGAGUCAAUUCCGCUUCUGCCCUCUAUAACAUCCUCCCUAUUUGGUUCAGUAGUCCUAAUGCUGACGUUCUGUCGUCUUUUUGCUCUCGCGUGAGGCGUGGGAUAUUUAUAAUACCCUCUCUCUUCCUAGACCAUAUAAUCUACAUAUAGGGAGAGAAGAAGGAAGUGUUAACUUAAGCUGUCGAAGCCAAAAUGGAGCUAAAAGCAUCCAUUAGGAUUCUUAUAAUCUACUUUCUCCUGCUUUUGUUUCUCUUGUCUGCAAUAACGGUUGCCGAACCGAGCAACGUCGUCCUACUAACCAAGAAAAAGAUUAGCUGGAGAGGGAUUACUGUCCAAAGGAAGCUUGCCCAUGCACCGCCUUCACCACCUUCGCCAUCAGGAAGAGUUCCCCCAACCCCAAGCAAGGAAAUAGCACCAUGAUCGCAAUCAAGUCCAUUGAAAAAGACAUUAGCCAAUGUUUAAUAAAAUAAGUAUACCUUGUCCUUGUAUUACAAUUCCAAGGUUCAUUCGCAAUUUUUAUUUUGUAUUAUUAUGCAAUACUGGUUCCAUUUGCCUUGUUUGAAUAAUAUCGUUAUUUGUGGAUUCUAGUUA